rnacentral:rRNA from 1 species
CCUACGGGAGGCAGCAGUAGGGAAUAUUGCUCAAUGGGGGAAACCCUGAAGCAGCAACGCCGCGUGGAGGAUGAAGGUUUUCGGAUCGUAAACUUCUUUUGUUAGAGAAGAUAAUGACGGUAUCUAACGAAUAAGCACCGGCUAACUCCGUGCCAGCAGCCGCGGUAAUACGGAGGGUGCAAGCGUUACUCGGAACCACUAGGAGUAAAGAGCGCGUAGGCGGGAUAGCAAGUCAGAUGUGAAAUCCUAUGGCUUAACCAUAGGACUGCAUUUGAAACUGUUAUUCUAGAGUAUGGGAGAGGAAGGUGGAAUUCUUGGGGUAGGGGUAAAAUCCGUAGAGAUUAAGAGGAAUACUCGUUGCGAAGGCGACCUGCUAGAACAAAACUGACGCUGAGGCGCGAAAGCGUGGGGAGCAAACAGGAGUAGAUACCCGAGUAGUC